GACGAACGCUGGCGGCGUGCCUAAUACAUGCAAGUCGAACGCUUCUUUUCCCACCGGAGCUUGCUCCACCGGGAAAAGAGGAGUGGCGAACGGGUGAGUAACACGUGGGUAACCUGCCCAUCAGAAGGGGAUAACACUUGGAAACAGGUGCUAAUACCGUAUAACAAUCGAAACCGCAUGGUUUCGUUUUGAAAGGCGCUUUACGGUGCCGCUGAUGGAUGGACCCGCGGUGCAUUAGCUAGUUGGUGAGGUAACGGCUCACCAAGGCCACGAUGCAUAGCCGACCUGAGAGGGUGAUCGGCCACAUUGGGACUGAGACACGGCCCAAACUCCUACGGGAGGCAGCAGUAGGGAAUCUUCGGCAAUGGACGAAAGUCUGACCGAGCAACGCCGCGUGAGUGAAGAAGGUUUUCGGAUCGUAAAACUCUGUUGUUAGAGAAGAACAAGGGUGAGAGUAACUGUUCACCCCUUGACGGUAUCUAACCAGAAAGCCACGGCUAACUACGUGCCAGCAGCCGCGGUAAUACGUAGGUGGCAAGCGUUGUCCGGAUUUAUUGGGCGUAAAGCGAGCGCAGGCGGUUUCUUAAGUCUGAUGUGAAAGCCCCCGGCUCAACCGGGGAGGGUCAUUGGAAACUGGGAGACUUGAGUGCAGAAGAGGAGAGUGGAAUUCCAUGUGUAGCGGUGAAAUGCGUAGAUAUAUGGAGGAACACCAGUGGCGAAGGCGGCUCUCUGGUCUGUAACUGACGCUGAGGCUCGAAAGCGUGGGGAGCAAACAGGAUUAGAUACCCUGGUAGUCCACGCCGUAAACGAUGAGUGCUAAGUGUUGGAGGGUUUCCGCCCUUCAGUGCUGCAGCUAACGCAUUAAGCACUCCGCCUGGGGAGUACGACCGCAAGGUUGAAACUCAAAGGAAUUGACGGGGGCCCGCACAAGCGGUGGAGCAUGUGGUUUAAUUCGAAGCAACGCGAAGAACCUUACCAGGUCUUGACAUCCUUUGACCACUCUAGAGAUAGAGCUUCCCCUUCGGGGGCAAAGUGACAGGUGGUGCAUGGUUGUCGUCAGCUCGUGUCGUGAGAUGUUGGGUUAAGUCCCGCAACGAGCGCAACCCUUAUUGUUAGUUGCCAUCAUUUAGUUGGGCACUCUAGCNAGACUGCCGGUGACAAACCGGAGGAAGGUGGGGAUGACGUCAAAUCAUCAUGCCCCUUAUGACCUGGGCUACACACGUGCUACAAUGGGAAGUACAACGAGUCGCGAAGUCGCGAGGCUAAGCUAAUCUCUUAAAGCUUCUCUCAGUUCGGAUUGUAGGCUGCAACUCGCCUACAUGAAGCCGGAAUCGCUAGUAAUCGCGGAUCAGCACGCCGCGGUGAAUACGUUCCCGGGCCUUGUACACACCGCCCGUCACACCACGAGAGUUUGUAACACCCGAAGUCGGUGAGGUAACCUUUUUGGAGCCAGCCGCCUAAGGUGGGAUAGAUGAUUGG
rnacentral:rRNA from 1 species